UCGUCAGGUAAGAUAACCUUUACUUUUUCCUCUAUUCAGAGGGCAGAUAGAACAUGAUGAUUGGAGUUUGAACGAUUUGUAAUUUGUGUCUCUGCAUGAUUAGACAUGAAGCACGCUGAUCACUCCUAUCUGAA